rnacentral:rRNA from 1 species
AGCGAACGCUGGCGGCAGGCCUAACACAUGCAAGUCGAACGAACCUUUCGGGGUUAGUGGCGGACGGGUGAGUAACACGUGGGAACGUGCCCUUAGGUUCGGAAUAACUCAGGGAAACUUGUGCUAAUACCGAAUGUGCCCUUCGGGGGAAAGAUUUAUCGCCUUUAGAGCGGCCCGCGUCUGAUUAGCUAGUUGGUUGAGGUAAUGGCUCACCAAGGCGACGAUCAGUAGCUGGUCUGAGAGGAUGAUCAGCCACAUUGGGACUGAGACACGGCCCAAACUCCUACGGGAGGCAGCAGUGGGGAAUCUUGCGCAAUGGGCGAAAGCCUGACGCAGCCAUGCCGCGUGAAUGAUGAAGGUCUUAGGAUUGUAAAAUUCUUUCACCGGGGACGAUAAUGACGGUACCCGGAGAAGAAGCCCCGGCUAACUUCGU